GGAAUAUUGGUCAAUGGAGGAAACUCUGAACCAGCAACACCGCGUGAAUGAUGAAGGUCUUCGGAUUGUAAAGUUCUGUGAUGGGGGACGAAUAAAGUGACGGUACCCCAAGAGCAAGCCACGGCUAACUACGUGCCAGCAGCCGCGGUAAUACGUAGGUGGCAAGCGUUGUCCGGAAUGACUGGGCGUAAAGGGUACGUAGGUGGCCAUUCAAGUUAGUAGUGAAAUCCCAGGGCUCAACUCUGGUGCUACUACUAAGACUGUGUGGCGUGAGUGCAGGAGGGGUAAGUGGAAUUCCUAGUGUAGCGGUGGAAUGCGUAGAUAUUAGGAAGAACACCAGUGGCGAAGGCGACUUACUGGACUGUAACUGACACUGAAGUACGAAAGCGUGGGGAGCAAACA
rnacentral:rRNA from 1 species